UACUGCCUCCAGCCAACUCCAGCCCAUGCACAGACUACAAGGCUUCCCCCUGCAUCACUGAUAUCCAUGUACCUAAUGCCAGCAGAGAGCUGCUGCUAAACCAGGAUCCCAAUUGCUCGUUUGCUGGAACAGGUCUCUGAAGAAGUUAGAAAAACCACAAACAUCUCCCUGGAGCCACUGGAGACUGGAGUCCUCUUGUGGCAAAAGGUAGAGGAAAAUUUCCAGUGACUGAUGACUACUGAAAGCUGGAAUCCAGUAAGAGGUACAGGGAGUAUGUACUUUGUAAAGAGCUUCGUGUCACAUUGCAGGGCAUGAAAGCAGCAGCGUGAAGACUUUGCAGCUGGCAUUGGGCAAGUAUCAAAAGGGAAAAGAUGCCACAGUGUUUUGAUACUGCAGACUGUGCUUCUGUUUACUGUGGUAGCUGCUUUCUGUUAGUGUGUUCCCUGCUAAGAUGAUGUUUCUGGCUGGAGUUUUUUUGUUUGUUUUUUUUCUGUCCUUGUGAGCAGAGGUAAUUUUUCCUGAGUGGUUUGCUAGCAGAAACUUUUCUCCUAGAUAAUAUAUUCACUGUACAGUAUCAGAGAUCAGCACCCAUCCUUCUUGUCAGUCUGGCUGAGGUGGGCAGAUAACAUAAUUCUAAGAUCUUAUUUAGAUUCUGCUGCUCUGUAUUCCAUCUCUUUUUCUGCUGUGUUGUUUCCUAUCUGCACUAGACCCUAUGGACUGCCUUGAGUUCAUCUUAGGGGACAUUUCUAUGGAUGAUGGAUGUUGGCCAUGUUACUGCCAUGUUGCCUGCCUGGAACAGCACUGCAGAAGAUGGAAUGGAUGAAAGCUGAAACAGAUGUUAUCCACUCACAAUGCCAUCCUGAUAACCCUGAGCUAAAGGCUGAAAUCCUUAACAGAUUAGAAGCUGAAAUAAAAAAUGGGUAAGUAAAGUGGGGAGUACGGCUGAACAAACUCUUAUAGGUUUCAUUUCUGUGGAUAACAAUGCACACAGGCUAUGUAAUCUCUGUGCUGAUCUGCCAGAGGAAAGAUUAAAUGGCAAAAUUCCAGCACUGAAACCUGCAGGUCUCCUCUGCUCUACUC